rnacentral:lncRNA from 1 species
GUGUAAACAAAUAAUAGCUCGUAGUGCCAAUAAUGUUGUCCAUGCCAUUUGUCUUUAUUUUCUAAAUGAAAAUAGUAAACUCAAAUUUACAAAAUACAAUUGGUUUCUGCAAUGUUGAAAAUUCAAACCUUUUUAUUCAAUUUCAUCUUAUUUAAGAAGAAAUAGGGAAUUACUUAAGAAAGUGCCAAUAUAUUUGGCCGCAACUGUAUAUCUUCACAUGUUUAUGUUUUCAUUAACAUUUAAUUUGUGGGGAUUUGCCGAUACAGACCUGAAAUUAAAUGACAGGAUCAUGUAGGUGUCUUUUACUGCAUUGGGUUCAUGAGUUGUGAAGCAAGGCUUCGCCUUAGUGGAUUCCUGGAGUAACUGCUCCUUCACCUGAACACUUGGAGAAUGUAACGGCUGUCUGUGGAAGUAGACCAAGGUGCAGCAGAGGAUGUGUUCAUCAUUAGAAUUUUAUUAGAACAACGUGAACACUAUACAAAAAACAAGAAAACUGACAGCCAAAACAGUCCUGUCAGGUGCAAACACUAACAGAAACAAUUACCCACAAAACCCAAAGGAAAAACAUGCUCCUUAUGUGUGACUCCCAAUCAGCAACAACAAGCUUCAGCUGUGCCUGAUUGGGAGCCACACACGGUCCAAAACAAAGAAAUACAAAAACAUAGAAAAAGGAACAUAGAACGCCCACCCAAUGUAACACCCUGGCCUAACCAAAAUAAAGAACAAAAACCCCUUAGCCAGACCAGUCAAUUUACACUUUGUUAGCUACUGUACAUCUAAUCAACAAAUCAUACAAACAUAGCUAAUUGCCUUCAAUAGGAUAUACAUAAUAAUUAAUACUCUAAGCAUUACAUUGAAUAAAUGUAUAAUUAGUGUGUGCGUUUUGAAAUAAAUAUUGAAUCAGUAGCCGACGAAUGAGCAAUUAAAGAAGCGCCACUCAUAGUCUUUGUAAAUGAAACUAAACUAGUUUUGAUAGUCUGUGGAACACAAGCCUACAAAAUACAAUACCACCACAGAGCUCCUGAGUGGCGCAGCGGUCUAAGGCAUUGCAUCGCAGUGCUAGAGGCGUCACUACAGACCCUGGUUUGAUUCCAGGGUCUGUAGUGCCAUUUAUUUUGGGUUAUAAUCAUAUACAAAGUAUGCUGAAUAAUGUUCAUACCAUUGUCACCAAACAACUGUAUUACACUCAAAAUAAUUAGAAUUCAGAUGUUAAUCUGGGUGAUGACACUAGCUUGCUAAAUUAGCUAACCAAACCCAUUAUGAUGGUUAGCUAGCAUGGUAGCUAUCUCUACUGCUACAUCUGUUGAGUGGUGUGGGGGCUGUGCUUUGGCAAAGUGGGUGGGUUUAUAUCCUGCCUGGUUGGCCCUGUCUGGGAGUAUCAUCGGACGGGGCCACAGUGUCCCCCCAACAAAUCAAAUACAUUUUAUAUUUGAGAUUCUUCAAAAUAGCCACCCUUUGUCUUGAUAACAGCUUUGCACACUCUUGGCAUUCUCUCAACCAGCGUCAUGAGGUAGUCACCUGGAAUGCAUUUCAAUUAACAGGUGUGCCUUGUUAAAAGUUAAUUUGUGGAAUUUCUUUCCUUCUUAAUGUGUUUGAGCCAAUCAGUUGUGUUGUGACAAGAUAGGGGUGGUAUACAGAAGAUAGCCCUAUUUGGUAAAAGACCAAGUCCAUAUUAUGGCAAGAACAUUUCAAAUAAGCAAAAAGAGACGCCAGUCCAUCAUUAUUUUAAGAUAUGAUGGUCAGUCAAUCUGGAAAAUGUCAAGAACUUUGAAAGUUUCUUCAAGUUCAGUCGCAAAAACCAUCAAGCGCUAUGAUGAAACUGGCUGUCAUGACGAGCGCCAGAGGAAAGGAAGUCCCAGAGUUACUUCUACUGCAGAGGAUACGCUUAUUAGAGUUACCAGCCUCAUAAAUUGCAGCCCAAAUAAAUGCUUCACAGAGUUCAAGUAACAGACACAUCUAAAAGUCAACAUUUCAGAGGAGACUGUGUGAAUCAGGCCUUCAUGGUAAAUUGCCGCAAAGAAACCACUAAUAAAGGACACUAAUAAUAAGAAGAGACUUGCUUGGGCCAAGAAACCCGAGCAAUGGACAUUAGACGGGUGGAAAACUGUCCUUUGGUCUGAUGAGUCCAAAUUUUAGAUUUUUGGUUCCAACCGCCGUGUCUUUGUGAGAUGCAGAGUAGGUGAAUGGAUGAUCUCCGCAUGUGUGGUUCCCACAGUGAAGCAUGGAGGAGGAGGUGUGUGGUGUGGGGGUGCUUUGCUGGUGACAGUGUCAGUGUUUUAUUUAGAAUUCAAGGCACACUUAACCAGCAUGGCUACCACAGCAUUCUGCAGUGAUACGCCAUCCCAUCUGGUUUGAGCUUAGUGGGACUAUUAUUUGUUUUUCAACAGGACAAUGACCCAACUCACCUCCAGGCUGUGUAAGGGAUAUUUGACCAAGAAGGAGAGUGAUGGAGUGCUGCAUCAGUUGACCUGGCCUCCACAAUCACCCGACCUCAAUCCAGUUGAGAUGGUUUGGGAUGAGUUGAACUGCAGAGUGAAGGAAAAGCGGCCAACAAGUGCUAAGCACAUGUGGGAACUCCUUCAAGACUGUUGGAAAAGUAUUCCGGGUGAAGCUGGUUGAAAGAAUGUCAAGAGUGUGCAAACCUGUCAUCAAGGCA